GUGGUUGUCGUCGAGCCAGAGAGCUAUGUAGAAAGAAACAAGACAAUUUAAUACAAGAUAUUAUUUCGAAUUAUAUCUGUAAUAACAAAGGAGACUGCCAUAUUACAGACCUGCUGGCCAGCAUUGUCUUGCUCUUUCGGGUCGACCAAAUACUGAGAGCAGUCAUCGAUGCCCUCCAGGUUCUCAUCGCCUUCGCGAUCAUCGUGAUAAACUUCUUCAGUGAGACCGCAGAUCAGGUUCAUCAUUUCCUCUUCGUGUUCUCUUGGAUCGGCCAUUUCUGCAGAAAUAUGUGACACAUGACUACAUAUAUAAAACUAGGGUUUAGGGUUUAGGGUUUAGGGCUUAGGUUUAGGGUUUAGGGUUUAGGGCUUAGGUUUAGGGUUUAGGGUUUAGGGCUUAGGUUUAGGGUUUAGAGUAUAUCAUUUGCUAACAAUUAAAUAUAUCAUAAUUGUACCACUAACUUAUACCACUAAUUGUACCACUAAUUAUAGCACUAAUUGUACCACUAAUAGUAAGUGAACAUUACUAAAUACACCAUAGAACAUCACUAAAUAAAUUAUAGAACAUCACAUCGCAUAUAUAUUGUAUAUGUAUACUAUGUGAACAUCGCUAAAAUAUGUUAUAGAACAUCAAAUAUAUAUUACGUGAAAAAAACUAAAUACACCAUAGAACAUCACUAAUUACAUUAAAGAACAUUGUAUAUAUAUUACGUGAAAAUAAAUAAGAAAUUGGUACUAUAAUAUACAUGAAAAUAAAUAAAUAUAUAUGAAUUUGAGCAGAGGCAAUAUUCUAGAUUCAUAAGAAAUUGGUACAAUGAUAUACAUGAAAAUAAAUAAAUAUAUAAUGUAAUACAAAUAAUAACUAGAGCAAAGCAUAAGAAAAAAAAAUAAAAACAUGUAACAAAGAAAAAAUUUAAAGAACAUCGUAUAUAUAUUACGUGUGUGUACAUGUGUGUGUGUGUUUUUUUUCAAUUAUACAUAUAUUAAGGUAUUGUUUAGUUCGCAAAAAGUUUGGUGCUUAGCUACUGUAGCACUUUCGUUUUUAUUUGAUAAACAUUGUCCAAUCACGAAAUAACUAGGCUUAAAAGAUUUAUCUCACAAAUUACAGAUAAACAGUGUAAUUUGUUUUUAUUUUCGUCUAUAUUCAAUAAUCCAUGCAUGCAACCAAAGAUUUAAUGUGACGGAGACUUUUAAAAAUUUUUGCGAACUAAACAAGGCCUAAUUAACAUAUGUAAACACUUUUAUUAUUAUCUAAUUUUGCAUAUUUUUUCUUUCUCUUUUUUCUAUAUAUAAGUUUUCACUUUUUUCCCCUUUUUUCUUUAAUUUUUUCUUUCUUUUUCUUUCUUUUUUUUGCUUUAUUUUUUUCUUUCUCUGUCUUAGCUAGUUGGCCGGCGCGCUCGCGGCCGGGGGGCUCUCAGCCGCCGGUGGGG
rnacentral:lncRNA from 1 species